rnacentral:rRNA from 1 species
GGGGAAUAUUGCACAAUGGAGGAAACUCUGAUGCAGCAACGCCGCGUGAGUGAUGAAGGUCUUCGGAUUGUAAAGCUCUGUCUUCUGGGACGAUAAUGACGGUACCAGAGGAGGAAGCCACGGCUAACUACGUGCCAGCAGCCGCGGUAAUACGUAGGUGGCAAGCGUUGUCCGGAUUUACUGGGCGUAAAGGAUGUGUAGGCGGAUAUUUAAGUGAGAUGUGAAAGACCCGGGCUUAACUUGGGCAGUGCAUUUCAAACUGGAUGUCUGGAGUGCAGGAGAGGAGAACGGAAUUCCUAGUGUAGCGGUGAAAUGCGUAGAGAUUAGGAAGAACACCAGUGGCGAAGGCGGCUUUCUGGUCUGUAACUGACGCUGAGGCGCGAAAGCGUGGGGAGCAAAC